rnacentral:lncRNA from 1 species
AAAAAUUUUGAUUUAAUCUAAUUUAAUAUUUGGUUAGAUUUAAUUAGUUUCUCUACAUGAUCUAUUAAUUUUUUUAUUCUAAUCUUAAGUCUAACCCAAUUAAGAGGAUCUGAUUUGAGCUAACCAUGCCCCCAUGUUUUAUACAAUAUCAUUAGAUCUUAAAUCAUAAUUCUAGAUCUAAUCGAUGCUUCACUUAAUUCUCAAUUAAGUUCCACA